GUAGGGAAUCUUCCACAAUGGACGAAAGUCUGAUGGAGCAACGCCGCGUGAGUGAAGAAGGUCUUCGGAUCGUAAAACUCUGUUGUUAGAGAAGAACGUGCAUGAUAGUAACUGAUCAUGUAAUGACGGUAUCUAACCAGAAAGCCACGGCUAACUACGUGCCAGCAGCCGCGGUAAUACGUAGGUGGCAAGCGUUGUCCGGAUUUAUUGGGCGUAAAGGGAACGCAGGCGGUUUUCUGAGUCUGAUGUGAAAGCCUUCGGCUUAACCGAAGAAUAGCAUUGGAAACUGGAAGACUUGAGUGCAGAAGAGGAGGGUGGAAUUCCAUGUGUAGCGGUGAAAUGCGUAGAUAUAUGGAGGAACACCAGUGGCGAAAGCGGCUCUCUGGUCUGUAACUGACGCUGAGGUUCGAAAGCGUGGGUAGCAAACAGGAUUAGAAACCCCAGUAGUCC
rnacentral:rRNA from 1 species